rnacentral:rRNA from 1 species
GAUGAACGCUGGCGGCGUGCCUAAUACAUGCAAGUCGAGCGAACAGACGAGGAGCUUGCUCCUCUGACGUUAGCGGCGGACGGGUGAGUAACACGUGGAUAACCUACCUAUAAGACUGGGAUAACUUCGGGAAACCGGAGCUAAUACCGGAUAAUAUAUUGAACCGCAUGGUUCAAUAGUGAAAGACGGUUUUGCUGUCACUUAUAGAUGGAUCCGCGCCGCAUUAGCUAGUUGGUAAGGUAACGGCUUACCAAGGCAACGAUGUGUAGCCGACCUGAGAGGGUGAUCGGCCACACUGGAACUGAGACACGGUCCAGACUCCUACGGGAGGCAGCAGUAGGGAAUCUUCCGCAAUGGGCGAAAGCCUGACGGAGCAACGCCGCGUGAGUGAUGAAGGUCUUCGGAUCGUAAAACUCUGUUAUUAGGGAAGAACAAAUGUGAAAGUAACUAUGCACGUCUUGACGGUACCUAAUCAGAAAGCCACGGCUAACUACGUG